rnacentral:misc_RNA from 1 species
AGCAUAUCCGGUUCACUUCCUGGUAUCACACCUCCAUCCAACUAAAAGACGGUCUCCCUGUUAAUAAUCAUCAUAUUAAAAAUGAAUGUCCAGCAUGAAGUUGAAUUACUCAUAGAGGAAAUUAAGCGGCUAGGUUCACCUGGUAAGUUUUCUACGUUGAGUACAUAUAUCUGAAGUGGAUCUUGACUACAAUCUGUAGCUUAAUGAACUGACGGUAGAACAGAGAGGAUAUGUGUGAGACUUGCCGGAUGUCAUUGUCAGAUCAUUAAAGACAGCUACCGGUACAUAAAACAUCCAGUCAACCACCGUAAUGCAUCUAUACAUUAUUAUCAUUUGAAUGUGAUUUAUAUUUGUAUCAACUGUAAGGAUGGGUGCUUUUAGCUGAAACGCUUGUAAUAAAAUAACAAC